AUUUCGUUCUACAAUUCUAGAAGACGCAAGUUAGCUACAGCCGAGUUUUCGCGGCUAUAUCAGAUUUUUCCGUGCCGUUAUGAGAUUGUGAAGGGGGUCCUGGACUGUCAUAAUGCAAACGGGGAUAAUAAAAGUGCUUUAAUGCUGGCUCAAAACGUCAAAAAGAACAUAAUCUCCAAUCCAAAGUUUGCUAUUCUCUACGCUAAUACAAUCACAAACAACAACAGAGAUCUCCCUUCAAUUGAAAAGGCAUGCUCAUUCCUCGAGGGCGUUCUGAAGAAUCAUUCGGAUUGUUUUGAAGUGCUUUACUGUUUGGUGGAUUUGUUUGUGAAGUGUGGCCAUUUCAGGCGUGCAAGUGAAGUUUUAAAGGACACGCUGAGAGUUUAUAGCAAUACAAAAUUGCAUUGUAAAUAUGGAUGUGUACUGCUAAAAAUGAAAAAUUCUAGAGAUGCGAUGGAACAUUUUAACAAGGCAUUGCUUUUAGACCCGUCUAACGUGGAGGCUAGGAAAGCUGUCCUCUCUGUUGAUGUUGGUUGUUUUUCUGACGUUUCUACUCAGUUUGAUAUGGAUAUGGAACUACAAGAUUUGG